GCCUUCGUGGUGUAACGGUAGCACACUCGGCUCGUAUUCGAGAGGUCCAGGUUCGAGUACCGAUGAGGGCA
rnacentral:tRNA from 1 species